ensembl:lncRNA
AACCUGAGUGUUCAGCCCACUGUAGCUGAGAUCUCCAGGCAUUUGAGCACCUCCCCAUGCAGCUACGUGGAUGUGAUGGAAUAGCAGGAACCGAAAUGCCACCUCAAUAUUCAAGGGUGAGGAGCUUCCCGGCUGGCCUGGAGCUCGGGGGACCCAAAUUCCUGCAGGGAACUGCUUCCAGCGGCUGCGCCUCUCUGCGUGGGCACCCCUGCAUUAGGUGUGACUUGGGGACUCGUUUUCUCUGCUUUGUGGAUGGCGUCCAGGCUGCUCUCUGCAGCAAAGGGACCAUCCAGCUGGAGAACCUCUGCAAGGAGCCUUCUGCAAACACCUCGGCAGGAUGCUUCCUGCCAGCGCGCUGCCCAGAAACUGCACAAUCACGCCUGCCUCCACAGCACCGCCAGCCAGAGAUUUCAAGGGAGCUGACUUCUCUUGCAAUGGUGCUUGAGCAACUGCCUGACUCCAAAAGCAGCCCUUUGAGCCUGAGUUCCCUGGGUUCCUGUGCUCACCAGUGGAGGAGACAGCUUGGGGAGAUGUGGGGCUGAAUGUAAAAGGGAUGCAUGUGUGUGCAUGCUGCCGUGUGCGCCCCACAUCACAGCCGGGUCUGGCUGCAGACCUUGUGCUUGCAUUUUUUGUGCUGACAGCACAGAGAGGUGCAGGUAGCGUUUGUGUGUCUGCAUUGAUCUGUUCCCAGCCCUUAAUGGUGGCUUCCUGCACCACUUUGCCAUGUUCCUGAUCCUCCUCCAUCCGUCUGUACCGUCCCACCUCACCAGUGUCACCGUGUUGAUGUGUGCAUACAGCUGGGUGCGGACCCGUGGUCUGGGCAUGUUCAAUACCUGCCUGCCCCAGCAGCCAGGGCCAGGUCUUCACUCUGCUGCUGGCAGCACAGGGGGAAGGCUGGGACCCAUUUGGGGCAGCAUGCCUGCAGCCUGCUUUGUGAUCAAGCAGCCGGAGGCAAGAUUUUGUGGGAUUAGCAAAACCCCCCGGCACAGCCAGCUUGCAAAACCUCAGCACUCGAAUGUCAUCUGGGAUCAGGUUCUGCUGGGGCAGAAUAUGACUUUUCAUCUCAACUUUCACUGGGCCAGCCCUUUUUGCAGAGCCUGGCCAGGGGAAGUGGGAGGAGGUGAGGAUGGGGCAGGCUGCCCUGCAUACCCUGCUCCUUCCUGGGGUGCCUUGGACCCCAAACACUGAGGGCGAGCAGCUCCUUGUGCUGCUGUCACCUCCACAUUGCCCAAGAGCAGGGAAGAAGCAUUUUGCCAGGCUGCUUUCUGGGUCCAAAGACAUUUUGCAUGUGCAGAAGCAGAUGUGUUUAGCCCCUUCCCAUCCGUGUGGUGGUGGGAGGCUGCAUGGGAUGAGUCUUUGUUUGCCCCACCAGCUAAAACACAAGGCGGGUGGGUGGCCAGGGGCAUCACAGAGAGCCCCAUCCUCACCCCCUGCAGGGAGGAGAGCUGUGCCAGGGGGCUGUGGAGACCUGGUGCAGGGACCCUGACUUCUACACAUUAGGGGUGGGGGAUCUCUGCUCUUCCCCAGCCCAGGCUGAGCACC